UACGGGGGGGGCGAGCGUUGUUCGGAAUUACUGGGCGUAAAGGGCGUGUAGGCGGGAAGGAAAGUCAGAUGUGAAAUCCCUGGGCUCAACCCAGGAACUGCAUUUGAAACUCCCUUUCUUGAGUGUCGGAGAGGAAAGCGGAAUUCCUGGUGUAGAGGUGAAAUUCGUAGAUAUCAGGAGGAACACCGGUGGCGAAGGCGGCUUUCUGGACGACAACUGACGCUGAGACGCGAAAGCGUGGGGAGCAAACAGG
rnacentral:rRNA from 1 species